rnacentral:rRNA from 1 species
GCGGAUUAGGUAGUUGGUGGGGUAACGGCCUACCAAGCCGAUGAUCCGUAGGGGGCGUGAGAGCGUGGCCCCCCACACUGGCACUGAGACACGGGCCAGACUCCUACGGGAGGCAGCAGUGAGGAAUAUUGCACAAUGGGCGCAAGCCUGAUGCAGCAACGCCGCGUGAGGGACGAAGGCCUUCGGGUUGUAAACCUCUUUUCUGAGGGACGAGGAAGGACGGUACCUCAGGAAUAAGUCUCGGCUAACUACGUGCCAGCAGCCGCGGUAAAACGUAGGAGGCGAGCGUUAUCCGGAUUUACUGGGCGUAAAGCGCGCGCAGGUGGCUUCGUGAGUCGGACAUGAAAGCUCCUGGCUUAACUGGGAGAGGCUGUUCGAUACUGCGGGGCUUGAGGUUGGGAGAGGGACGCGGAAUUCCCGGUGUAGUGGUGGAAUGCGUAGAUAUCGGGAGGAACACCAGUGGCGCAAGCGGCGUCCUGGCCCACACCUGACGCUGAGGUGCGAAAGCGUGGGUAGCAAACAGGAUUAGAUACCCUGGUAGUCCACGCUGUAAACGAUGUCAACUGGGUGUCGGUAGUUUUACACUAUCGGUGCCGAAGCUAACGCG